GCAGGUGCUGAGGGAUCCAGUCUCUAUCACCUGUGGACACAGGUUCUGCAGACAGUGCAUCACCAGAUACUGGGAGAAACCUGCUCCUUCAGGAGACUAUGACUGUCCUCAGUGUAGAAAGAGAUCCAGAACACGGCCUGUACUACAGCAGCUGAGUCAACCCAAUAAAACAAGAGGCUCUGAAAACAGGAAGACCACUUGCACACUGGAUGACAGCCUGCAGAGAGCUAUAGUAAACCA